GCUGUACAGGGAACCAAGUGCUUUUGCUCUAUUGGAUAUGGAAGGAGAGGAACAGUUACAUGAAGCGCUUUCUUCCUUCCAUACUCACCUGGAAUAAGAGAUUUUAUCUUAGACCAAAAUUUCAGAGCAAAGCUCUGGGUUGAUUUAGGUCCUUGGAAGUAUAUGUACAGAAGCCAAUUCUCUAACAUAUUUGGAAAAUAAGCUUUCUUGACCUAUGUGAAAUCUUAGCAGAUCACUGAAGAGCAGCUGAGAGGCUACUAAAUGAAUAUUUUCUGCACUUUCUGCUUCUUUACUUUAUUCAAGUUAAUUUAUCUUCCAUGGAAAAGAAUGAAAAUAAAGGCUACUGGGAAACAAGAGGUCAGCCACUUCUGAAUAUAAUCAAGACUUAAUAAAACUGAAUGAAGUUUAUGUUUAUAAUGGUCUAAGAUUGAAGCUACAAUAUGCCUCUAUUCUAAGAAUGUUUUUAUUGUCUCAAUCAAGAUAUUUUUCAUCUGCUCAAGGUCAUUUUUUUAUUGAUUUCAUGAUCUGCUAAGGGAAGGUGGAGAAUUUGUAAGCGGAAGACUACUGAGCAUCCAGGCUCAUCUGGGUCCUGAAUAUUCAAGAGUCUGUCCCAGGGUCCUGGCAGCAUGCAGAUGGGAGUGUGCUCCUCGGACAACUACUGAACUGAUUCCUGGAAAACACAAAGCAUGUCAAGGUUUCUCCAUGGAAUCUUCUGCAGCAGAGAAUCUGAUUCAUCCCUGAGAACAGUGGUCUUCAACCACUCUCUAAAGAAACUGGAAAAAUCCUGAGAGAAGGAGAAAGCCCAACUUCUUGACUUUGAACCAUACAGCUGGAACCACAGGUCAGGCAAAUUGGUGGUCACCAUCAGGUCCCAACCUGCAAUUCAACCCACCUCAGGAAGCCUCGUCAUUCAGGCAGAAUUCAGCUUUAUUUUGAGAGAUACCACUGAAGAAUCGAGCUUAGCUGGUGUGUGAAAAAGGUGAGCAAGAAGAGAGGGGUAAAAGAAAUGGUAUUGCCCAUUGGCAAAUCAAAAUCCAAGAUGUAGGCUCACUCACAUUUGUAGUAUUCUUGACCUUUGCUAAUUACCAAUAUCCAGAAAUUGAUGUGAACUUUUUGGGAAAUCCACAAGGCUUAAAA